AGAGACAGGGGCAAUGUUUGGUGGUUUGGGCAGGCUCAAUCUAUUUUGGGUGAUAGUUCUCAGUGCCAUUUUGAAGACUAUUAAAAUUGUUGAGCCAAGACCUUUCGUUUAGUUUGUAUAUAAAAUACUACCUUAUCCUCAGGAACCAAGUCAGAACAGUCUAGGAGGUGAACCAAUUUCUAAUGACUUAAUCUACCUUCAGGGACGAAGGUAGCUAAAGUGUAGGGACGAAGAUGGAGAAUGCAUUGUGAAUGCUUUAUUUAACAACUGAUUAUUAAAAGUUACAUGCAAAGGAUGAAGCUGAAAAAGAUAAUCUAAACAUGAUAGCAUGUGCUCAAAAAACACUUGCAUACGAAGAAAGAUAGAUGCAAAAGAUGGUGCAAGAGUCGAAGAGGCUGAAAAGAGAAGCCAUGAAGAAUUCAAAGGUAAAAAUAUGGACAUGGUACACACGUUGAAUAUUUCGUUAUUUUGGUUAAAGACGUUGAGUAUUUCGUUAUUAUUUUGUUUAAAUUUUAGACUAAGAUACUAAAUGUGAGGUUAUCAGCUGCAAAGGAUUAUGUAGGGGCAAUUUCGGAAUCAAGAUUUGUAGUUAAAGAAAACGACGUUUUGUUUGGUUAUGUUUAUAGACCUGAAACAUUUAUUUGGUUGAAA